rnacentral:rRNA from 1 species
UACGUAGGGGGCAAGCGUUGUCCGGAAUCAUUGGGCGUAAAGCGCGUGUAGGCGGCUCGGUAAGUCCGCUCUGAAAGCCCGGGGCUCAACCCCGGGAGGCGGGUGGAUACUGCUGAGCUCGAGUCCGGAAGAGGAGUGUGGAAUUCCUGGUGUAGCGGUGAAAUGCGCAGAUAUCAGGAGGAACACCAAUUGCGAAGGCAGCUUACUAAAGUAUGAUUGACGCUGAGGCACGAAAGCGUGGGGAUCAAACAGG